CCAACGAAAUUCUUAUAGUGAUGAACUUCACAACCUGAGCAAAGACCUAUUGACAAUCAAUGUCCUGUGAAAAUUUUCCAGUAAAAGUCUUACCCUGAAUCAUGGUGUAAAAAUGUGGUAUCGGUCGCGGUCGCGGAAUUGUUUUGGUGAUGCGGUAACGGAACAGUCUCGUUAGUCGCGGAUCGGGUCGCGGUGGUCGCACGGGAUGAAUUAGUGAGGAAAAUAAAUUAAAAAAAAAUCACAGUAGAUAAGUGAAGGAUUAAAAAGAAAAAACAAUUAAAAAACACUUGUUUAAAAAAAAUACUCCUAAAAAGAUUUUUUUUAAAAAAAGGUAAAGCACGUGUAUAGAGUAGAUCUGUUGAUAGUAGCUGUUAUUCUUAUUGUUAUAUUUUUAUCAUAUUUAAUAAAAUAGUUCCCUUAAAAAAUAACAUACGUCAGUACUGUACAGUACUCAAUAAAAGAGUAAUCUGGUUUUUGGGCUUUUGAGUUUUGGCCACCUGUUAUGUUUGACAAAGUAAACCCCCACUCCCCCAGUUAUUACCUCCCCAACCCUCACGGCCUCACCCACCCACAUGUUUAAUUUAUUAAAAGGAAAUUAUUGUACAAAAUUCAAAAAAAACCCUAAUAAAAGAAUCCUAAAAAACAUUAAGCCCAGCCGCCCAACCUUCCAACUGCAAGUCGUCUCCCCUUACUCUUUUUCUUCCUUAACUCAAACAUCCAUGGCGGUAACUCGCUACGCUCAGACUGUUUAGGGUAGUGUGUUAAAUCUACUUGCACUAUGGAAGGGGGAUUCAUGGGUUUGCGAAUGAGCGCUGUUAAAAUGGCAAAAGAAAACCUCUGCUGCUAGCAAGGUGUAUGGCAUAGUUUUUGCUGAAACCUUUAGGGGAUGUUUGGUAUGUAAUUUUUUAGAGUGGGAAACGGAUUCAUAUAACCGUUUACGUUAAAAGUUGUUUGGUUUGGAGUAUGCGGUAACCGUUACCGUUACCGUUAUCCAGGGGUAAUUUAUUCCCCUACUUUGUUACUGCUCUAAAAUCCACAGUAACAAUUACCGUUUCCCCUCAAACAACAAUUGCACUGCCUCCUUUCUCUCUCCCUUUCCUUCUUUCUCCCUUCUCCCCUUUCUCUUCUCUGAGAUUACUCCCGAAUUCAAUUGAAUCUCCCAAGAUUUCAACGUUUCUGUAAAUUUCUACUUGUAUUUUUUUCAUAAUUUAUGAAUUUUGUUCUUUCAAUCUAAUUUUCGAAUUUAAUCAACCCUAAUUUUAAUUUGUCCA